GGUUCGAUCAUGGCUCAGAUUGGAACGUUAAGGGAUGUUUACUGUCAUGCAAGUCGGAACGGCAGCACGGACUUCGGUCUGGUGGCGAGUGGCGAACGGGUGAGUAAUGUAUCGGAACGUGCCUAGUAGCGGGGGAUAACUACGCGAAAGCGCUAAUACCGCAUAUUGCCCUUCGGGGGAAAGCGGGGGACCUUCGGGCCUCACCAUUAGAGCGGCUUUGACAUUUGAUUAGCUAGUUGGUGGGGUAACGGCUCACCAAGGCGACGACCCAGCUGGUUUGAGGACGACUUCAGCCACACUGGGACUGAGACGGGCCCACACUUUCUACGGGAGGCAGCAGUGGGGAAUUUUGACAUUGGGGAAACUUCAUGAUCCAGCCAUCCCGCGUGUGCGAUGAAGGCCUUCGGGUUGUGUACACUUUUGGCAGGAUGAAAAUGGCACGGGAUAAUACCCUGUGCAACUGACGGUACCCGCAGAAGUACCGGCCAGUCUACGUGCCAGCAGCCGCGGUAAUACGUAGGGUGCAAGCGUUAAUCGAAUUACUGGGCGUAAAGCGUGCGCAGACGGUUCGGAAAGAAAGAUGUGAAAUCCCAGAGCUUAACUUUUGGAACUGCAUUUUUAACUACCGAGCUGAGUGUGUCAGGAGGGAGGUGGAAUUCGCGUAGCAGGAAAUGCGUAGAUAUGCGGAGGAACACCGAUGGCGAAGGCAGCCUCCUGGGAUAACAUCAGAUGCUUCGCGUAAUGAAAGGAGCAAACAGGAAUAGAUACCCUGGUAGUCCACGCCCUAAACGAUGUCAACUAGCUGUUGGGGCCUCGGCAUCUGGUGGCGUAGCUAACGCGUGAAGUUGACCGCCUGGGGAGUACGGUCGCAAGAUUAAAACUCAAAGGAAUUGACGGGGACCCGCACAAGCGGUGGAUGAUGGGAUUAAUUCGAUGCAACGCGAAAAACCUUACCUACCUGACAUGUCUGAAUCCCGAAGAGAUUUGGGAGUGCUUAAAAGAGAACCGGAACACAGGUGCUGCAUGGCUGUCGUCAGCUCGUGUCGUGAGAUGUUGUCAAGUCCCGCAACGAGCGCAACCUUGUCAUUAGUUGAUACGAAAGGGCACUCUAAUGAGACUGCUGGCAGACAAACCGGAGGAAGGUGGGGAUGAUCAAGUCCUCAUGGCCCCAGUGGUAGGGGCUUACACGUCAUACAAUGGUCGGGACAGAGGGUCGCUAACCCGCGAGGGGAGCCAAUCCCAGAAACCCGAUCGUAGUCCGGAUCGCAGUCUGCAACUCGACUGCGUGAAGUCGGAAUCGCUAGUAAUCGCGGAUCAGCAUGUCGCGGUGAAUACGUUCCUCGGUCUUGUACACACCGCCCGUCACACCAUGGGGAGUGGGUUUUACCAGAAGUAGUUAGCCCAACUGCAAGGAGGGCGAUUACCACGGUAGGAUUCAUGACUGGGGUGAAGUCGUAACAGUAA
rnacentral:rRNA from 1 species